rfam:Triticum aestivum genome assembly, contig: Triticum_aestivum_CS42_TGACv1_scaffold_295511_4AL
GUCCUACUCGCUCCAUUCCAAAGUACUUGUCUUAGAUUUGUCUAGAUACGGAAAUAUCUAGCACUAAAAUGAGUCUAGAUACAUCCGUAUCUAAACAAGUCCAAGACAAAUAAUUCGGAACGGAGAGAGUAUAAU